rnacentral:rRNA from 1 species
UUUCCUACGGGAGGCAGCAGUGGGGAAUUUUGGACAAUGGGCGCAAGCCUGAUCCAGCUAUUCCGCGUGUGGGAAGACGGCCUUCGGGUUGUAAACCACUUUUGUAGAGAACGAAAAGUCUGUUGAUAAUACCGAUAGAUGAUGACGGUACUCUAAGAAUAAGCACCGGCUAACUACGUGCCAGCAGCCGCGGUAAUACGUAGGGUGCGAGCGUUAAUCGGAAUUACUGGGCGUAAAGGGUGUGCAGGCGGUUUUGCAAGAUUGAUGUGAAAGCCCCGGGCUUAACCUGGGAAAGCCCUACCUGA